rnacentral:lncRNA from 1 species
CAUGAUUUACAUUUAAAGAGCUGUGAAGAAAUAAAAAUUAAAAAAAAACCCACCCAAAUCAGUAACAUAUCGUAUGUCAAAUUGGGUUUGGACACAGUCUGAAGCAAUUAGGAUUACUUCAGUUAAUAAAAAGAACACUCAUGAAGACUGAUAUGGUAUAAGGGUAUUAAUUUGAAGUGGAGAUUAUAACUUUAUUUUGACAUAUGCUGAAUAUUAGCCAGACAUAUCACAGAAAAAGAAAUUCUGGGAUGACAGCAUGCAGUCUGACUGAGCAUCUGCCUGAAGCAUUCUGAAGCAAAUUCCAGAUUUAAACAUCUGUCCAAGAAAGAGUUCUUGCAGAGGAAGCAAUUAUAAAUCACACAGGAGGCUGAUAGACAAGGAAUGAAUUUCUCCACCCCACAAAAGUCUAAGAGACAGUGCUGUGAAGAGACAAAACAGAAUUUCACAUCUUGAGCUAAAUACUGCAAGAUUUGGGACAGAAUCAGAAGACCCAGAAAAAGUUUCUGUUUUUAUGGAAAUCAAAAUUGUGGUAACAAGAAUUCUUCUGGAAAUGUGGUCCUUUCAUUACUCUUGUAAGAUAAACAGAAAAGACAUGCAUCCAAAAAAAUGAAUUGAUCUUCAACAUAUGCCCUUUGAAGUUAUUGUGAUGAACCAUUAAUAGAGUUCCUCACAGAGAAUCUACUUUUGAUCAGCAGUAGUAUAUGUCAGGGAUUUGUCCUCAAAAACAGAUUCCACCAUAGAACACCUGUCCAGACCCUUCUAUGAAUAUAGUUUCUCUAUACCAAGGAUAAAUCAACAACCUCCACAUGAAUUUGAAACUAAUACUAAAGUGUGCUAUUAAAGUAAUG